UACGUAGGGGGCGAGCGUUGUCCGGAUUUACUGGGCGUAAAGGGCGCGUAGGCGGCCAGCACAAGUCAGUUGUGAAAUCUCCGAGCUUAACUCGGAAAGGGCAACUGAUACUGUGCGGCUAGAGUGCGGAAGGGGCAACUGGAAUUCUUGGUGUAGCGGUGAAAUGCGUAGAUAUCAAGAGGAACACCUGCGGCGAAGGCGGGUUGCUGGGCCGACACUGACGCUGAUGCGCGAAAGCUAGGGGAGCGAACGGG
rnacentral:rRNA from 1 species